rnacentral:rRNA from 1 species
AUGAAGUGGCAGCCGUUCAUGUCCACGUUCGUGCUGAACAAGAUGUGUGAGCUCAUCUCUAGUGGAGUUAGGACUGACAAGGGCUUCAAGGAGGUGCACUUGAACACCGUUGCGAAGCAGGUGUUCGAGUUCUGUGGGCAAGAGGUGUCUGCCACCCAGGUGUACAACCACCUGAGGAAGUGGAGAAGUCGAUGGAUCCAAGUGUCCAAGCUGAGAGACCUUAGCGGCGCCUCAUGGGAUGAGAACACUUGCUCCAUAGUUCUUGAGGCAGAGCACUACACCGGCCAUGUCGCGGACCACCCAAGGGACGCUGAGUUCCUCAACACACCCAUCCAGAACUACAACCAGAUGCAGCACAUCUUCUCCUCCGGGCUGGCAACCGGGAAGCAUGCCAUGGGCUCAGGGGAGCCUCUUGGUUCUCCUAUGCCUGACUUCCCUGGGACCCCGGACGUCGAGAUCCUUGAUGGCCCUGACAAGCCCGCUGCGAAGCCCUUCGACAAGCCAUUUGACCCCGUUGAUAGGAAGAGGAAGAGAGGAGGCCUGAUGCAGGAGGAGAUCAAUGUCUUCUGCAGCAUGACUGAGGCGGUGAAGGAGGUGGCAACAGCCAUCAGGGAGUGCAAGCCCCUCGACGUCCACCCUGACCUGUAUGGCGCUGUCAUGACCCAGGGUGGCUUCAGUGACGAGGCUCUCAUGGCAGCUCUUAGCCACCUGCUUGACAACAAGGCCCAGGGUGUUGGGUUCGUUGCCAUGGCCGACGCUCACAGGGUGUUGUGGCUCAGGAGCUGGCUGGGCAAGCACUACUACUAG